rnacentral:rRNA from 1 species
UCAAAGAUUAAGCCAUGCAUGUCUAAGUAUAAACAACUUGUAUUUGUGAAACUGCGAACGGCUCAUUAAAUCAGUUAAUAUUUAUUUGAUAAUGAUUUUACUACAUGGAUAGCCGUAGUAAUUCUAGAGCUAAUACAUGCGUAUAAGUUUGACUCCGUGAGGGGAAGAACUGUAUUUAUUAGAUCGAAAAACAAAGGAGCGUGUGCAUUCGAUUAACCUCGAGUGUGUGCGUUCCAUAAUGAUGAAUCAUAAUAACUUUGUCGAAUCAUUGGGUCACCCCUUUGAUGUGUCAUUUGAAUUUCUGCCCUAUCAACUUGUGAUGGUAGGAUAGAGGCCUACCAUGGUUUUGACGGGUAACGGGGAAUUAGGGUUCGAUUCCGGAGAGGGAGCCUGAGAAAUGGCUACUACUUCUAAGGAAGGCAGCAGGCGCGCAAAUUACCCAAUCCCAAUAAUUUUGGGGAGGUAGUGACAAAAAAUAUCGAUUCGAGCGGACUAUGUCCGUAUCGAAAUUGGAAUGAUUCACCAGUAAAUGAGGUGGAGAGAAACAAUUAGAGGGCAAGUCUGGUGCCAGCAGCCGCGGUAAUUCCAGCUCUAAUAGUGUAUACUAAAAUUGCUGCAGUUAAAAAGCUCGUAGUUGAAUUUGUUGCUGAGUAUGUAGGGUGAAAUUCUUUAUUACAUUGAUCUAUACCUGUAACUUGGUGUAGUCAUGUGGUGGAGAUGCAUUCUUGACUCAGUGUUUGUAAUGUUUUUCGAAGGAUGGUGAGGCACUUUAUUGGGCUUUCACUGUAAUUCGGAGAGUUUACUUUGAAGAAAAUGGAGUGUUCAAAGCAGGUUUAUAAAAAGCGCAACUGAACACAUUAGCAUGGAAUAAUAAAAUAGGACACUUGGUUAUUGUGUGGUAAAACGCACAGUAACUUUCCUCCAUUGGGGGAAAUUCUAUUUUGUUGGUUUAUAGUGCAAGUGUAAUGAUUAAUAGGGACAGUUGGGGACAUUCGUAUUGCAUCGUCAGAGGUGAAAUUCUUGGAUUGAUGCAAGACGAACGAGUGCGAAAGCAUUUGGCAAGGAUGUUUUCAUUAAUCAAGAACGAAAGUUAGGGGAUCGAAGGCGAUCAGAAACCGCCCUAGUCUUAACUAUAAACGAUGCCAACUAGGGAUUGGGGGGAGGAGAUUGUAUUAUAUCUUCUCACGUUUAUAAAAGCAUAAGUGUUGGCAACAAUACUUGGCUAUUUGCCUCGUCAGGACCUGAUGAGAAAUCAUAAGUCUUUGGGUUCUGGGGGGAGUAUGGUCACAAGGCUGAAACUUAAAGAAAUUGACGGAAGAGCACCACCAGGUGUGGAGCCUGCGGCUUAAUUUGACUCAACACGGGAAAACUUACCAGGUCCAGACACGGGGAGGAUUGACAGAUUGAGAGUUUUUUCUUGAUUUCGUGGGUGGUGGUGCAUGGUCGUUCUUAGUUGGUGGAGCGAUUUGUCUGCUUAAUUGCGAUAACGAACGAGACCUCAACCUGCUAACUAAGCUUUUUUUAAUGUAAGAUUUCUUACGUUUUCUACAACAAAGCUUCUUAGAGGGACAACCGUCUUCUAGAUGGGGGAAGCAUGAGGCAAUAACAGGUCUGUGAUGCCCUUAGAUGUCCUGGGCCGCACGCGCGCUACACUGAUGAAAUCAACAAGUUUGAAAUUCACGGUUUUCGUGAUUUUCCUGAUCCGAGAGGAUUGGGUAAUCUUUUGAAUUUUCAUCGUGAUGGGGAUUGAUGUUUGUAAUUAUGGAUCAUGAACGAGGAAUACCUAGUAAGUGCAAGUCAUCAGCUUGCGCUGAUUACGUCCCUGCCCUUUGUACACACCGCCCGUCGCUCCUACCGAUUGAAUGAUAAGAUGAAAUGUUCGGAUUGAGGGGUCGCAUCAAUUUAAGAAUGGUGUUAAAGCCAUUUGGACGUGAUCUCACUAGAAGAACAGUAAAUCUUCUUAUUUAGA